GGGAGCUGCAGUAACCAUAGAAACUGCAUCCAACGCGCAGGCUCCGCUGGGGGGGCCGAUAGGAUGCUCAGAAACAUGCACAGGCAGACAUAACCCCCGCUUUCAGCAGCACAACUCAGAGCGGGCUCAAACCACGACCACCUCUUCAGACACCUCACGUUGAGCCCUUAAAUCCACGCACGGCUACAGAAGAGGCGCGAUUUUCGGAGUCACUGGGCACAGCAGAUGCUCGAUGUCUACAAGAGCCAGACAGCAUCCAUUUCAGCGCCAGGAAAGCGGAUCGAGGGGGGUCUGGCGAGGGAGGACGGGGAAGCACUAUCUGCAGACACCCACGCGCACCCCACGGGGCAGGAGGUGGCUCUGGCAGCCACAGAGGAACCGGGAACGAGCGACUGGGAUGGCACGUGGAGAUGGGCGAACACAUACAACGGGGACAGCUUAGUGGCUUCGCCAGCUGUUGAUGGCAUCUCUCCGUCCCUCUCACCCGCCGUGGUUCAAGGGCUUUCGGGAGUGCCGUGACCCCACCGUGGGGCUUUUCUCCUCUCUGCCCCUUAUCCCCAUCGCCCAGCGAUCGCGGCGGCCGGCGGAGCAAGCCUCUCGCUCUUGCACCGGGACAGAGGUGCCCGGCUUGCGAGGAAGCGUAAGCACCUACGGGAAGGUGUGGGGCGGGGAUAAAAAUACCAGCAGUCCUGCCUUUUUAACACCAAAAAACAAAUAAAAAUAAG